rnacentral:rRNA from 1 species
GACGAACGAUGGCGGCGUGCUUAACACAUGCAAGUCGAACGAAGUGGCGAACGGGUGAGUAAUACGUGGGUAACCUGCCCUCCUUUUUGGGAUAAGACUUGGAACCGGGGUCUAAUACAGAAUAAAGGGGGAUGGGCUCGCGGCCUAUCAGCUUGUUGGUGGGGUGAUGGCCUACCAAGGCGGUGACUGGUAGACGGCCUGAGAGGGUGACCGGCGACAGUAGGACGUAGAUACGGCCAAGAUGCAGACGGGAGGCAGCAGUAGGGGAUAUUGCACAAUAGGAGAAAGGCUGGUACAGCGACGCCGCGUGGGGGAUGAAGGCUUUCGGGUUGGAAACCUCUUUCGCUACCGAAAGGGUAGGUGGAGAAGAAGCGCCGGCUAACUACGUGCCAGCAGCCGCGGUAAUAC